rnacentral:rRNA from 1 species
AUUGAACGCUGGCGGCAUGCUUUACACAUGCAAGUCGAACGGUAACAGGCCGCAAGGUGCUGACGAGUGGCGAACGGGUGAGUAAUGCAUCGGAACGUGCCCAGUCGUGGGGGAUAACGCAGCGAAAGCUGCGCUAAUACCGCAUACGAUCUAUGGAUGAAAGCGGGGGACCGUAAGGCCUCGCGCGAUUGGAGCGGCCGAUGUCAGAUUAGGUAGUUGGGGGGGUAAAGGCUCACCAAGCCGACGAUCUGUAGCUGGUCUGAGAGGACGACCAGCCACACUGGGACUGAGACACGGCCCAGACGCCUACGGGAGGCAGCAGUGGGGAAUUUUGGACAAUGGGCGCAAGCCUGAUCCAGCAAUGCCGCGUGCAGGAAGAAGGCCUUCGGGUUGUAAACUGCUUUUGUACGGAACGAAAAGGCUCUGGUUAAUACCUGGGGCUCAUGACGGUACCGUAAGAAUAAGCACCGGCUAACUACGUGCCAGCCGCCGCAGUAACAC